rnacentral:rRNA from 1 species
GGAAUUUUUCGCAAUGGGCGAAAGCCUGACGACGCAACGCCGCGUGGAGGAUGAAGGCCCUAGCGGUCGUAAACUCCUGUCUAGCGGGACGAAAUUCUUCGGAGUAAAUAAUUCAGGAGAUUGACUGUACCGCUGGAGGAAGCUCCGGCCAACGCCGUGCCAGCAGCCGCGGUAAUACGGAGGGAGCAAGCGUUCCUCGGAAUUAUUGGGCGUAAAGGGCGCGUAGGCGACCUGGCAAGUCCUUUGUGAAAGCCCACAGCUUAACUGUGGAAGUGCACAUGAUACUGCUGGGUUUGAGUUCCGGAGAGGAAGGCAGAAUUCCCGGUGUAGCGGUGAAAUGCGUAGAGAUCAGGAGGAAUACCAGUGGCGAAGGCGGCCUUCUGGACGGACACUGACGUUGAGGCGCGAAAGCCAGGGGAGCAAAC